rnacentral:rRNA from 1 species
GACGAACGCUGGCGGCGUGCCUAAUACAUGCAAGUUGAGCGCUGAAGGUUGGUACUUGUACCAACUGGAUGAGCAGCGAACGGGUGAGUAACGCGUGGGGAAUCUGCCUUUGAGCGGGGGACAACAUUUGGAAACGAAUGCUAAUACCGCAUAAAAACUUUAAACACACGUUUUAAGUUUGAAAGAUGCAAUUGCAUCACUCAAAGAUGAUCCCGCGUUGUAUUAGCUAGUUGGUGAGGUAAAGGCUCACCAAGGCGAUGAUACAUAGCCGACCUGAGAGGGUGAGCGGCCACAUUGGGACUGAGACACGGCCCAAACUCCUACGGGAGGCAGCAGUAGGGAAUCUUCGGCAAUGGACGAAAGUCUGACCGAGCAACGCCGCGUGAGUGAAGAAGGUUUUCGGAUCGUAAAACUCUGUUGGUAGAGAAGAACGUUGGUGAGAGUGGAAAGCUCAUCAAGUGACGGUAACUACCCAGAAAGGGACGGCUAACUACGUG